AACGAACGCUGGCGGCAGGCCUAACACAUGCAAGUCGAACGCUCCGCAAGGGGAGUGGCGCACGGGUGAGUAACACGUGGGAACCUACCUUCUGGUACGGAACAACCAAGGGAAACUUUGGCUAAGACCGUAUACGACCUCCGGGUGAAAGAUUGAUCGCCGGAAGAGGGGCCCGCGUCCGAUUAGGUAGUUGGUGAGGUAACGGCUCACCAAGCCUUCGAUCGGUAGCUGGUCUGAGAGGAUGACCAGCCACACUGGGACUGAGACACGGCCCCAGACUCCUACGGGAGGCAGCAGUGGGGAAUAUUGGACAAUGGGCGCAAGCCUGAUCCAGCCAUGCCGCGUGAGUGAUGAAGG
rnacentral:rRNA from 1 species